rnacentral:rRNA from 1 species
UAAGUUAAUAAGGGCGCACGGUGGAUGCCUUGGCACUAGGAGCCGACGAAGGACGUGACAAACGACGAUAUGCCUUGGGUAGCUGUAAGUAAGCGAUGAUCCAGGGAUUUCCGAAUGGGGGAACCCAACAGGUAAUACCUGUUACCUACAUCUGUUAAGGAUGUGAGGAGGAAGACGCAGUGAACUGAAACAUCUAAGUAGCUGCAGGAAGAGAAAGCAAAAGCGAUUGCCUUAGUAGCGGCGAGCGAAACGGCAGAAGGGCAAACCGAAGAGUUUACUCUUCGGGGUUGUAGGACUGCAAUGUGGACUCAAAGAUUAUAGAAGAAUGAUUUGGGAAGAUCAGCCAAAGAGGGGUAAUAGCCUCGUAUUUAAAAUAGUCUUUGUACUUAGCAGUAUCCUGAGUACGGCGGGACACGUGAAAUCCCGUCGGAAUCUGGGAGGACCAUCUCCCAACCCUAAAUACUCCCUAGUGACCGAUAGUGAACCAGUACCGUGAGGGAAAGGUGAAAAGCACCCCGGGAGGGGAGUGAAAUAGAACCUGAAACCGUGUGCCUACAACAAGUUCGAGCCCGUUAAUGGGUGAGAGCGUGCCUUUUGUAGAAUGAACCGGCGAGUUACGUUAUGAUGCGAGGUUAAGUUGAAGAGACGGAGCCGUAGGGAAACCGAGUCUGAAUAGGGCGCCUUAGUAUCAUGACGUAGACCCGAAACCAUGUGACCUACCCAUGAGCAGGUUGAAGGUGCGGUAAGACGCACUGGAGGACCGAACCAGGGCACGUUGAAAAGUGCUUGGAUGACUUGUGGGUAGCGGAGAAAUUCCAAACGAACUUGGAGAUAGCUGGUUCUCUCCGAAAUAGCUUUAGGGCUAGCGUCGACAUUAGAGAUUCUUGGAGGUAGAGCACUGUUUGGGUGAGGGGUCCAUCCCGGAUUACCAAUCUCAGAUAAACUCCGAAUGCCAAUGAAUUAUGGUCGGCAGUCAGACUGCGAGUGCUAAGAUCCGUAGUCGAAAGGGAAACAGCCCAGACCACCAGCUAAGGUCCCAAAAUAAUUGUUAAGUGGAAAAGGAUGUGGGGUUGCACAGACAACUAGGAUGUUAGCUUAGAAGCAGCUAUUCAUUACAAAGAGUGCGUAAUAGCUCACUAGUCGAGUGACCCUGCGCCGAAAAUGUACCGGGGCUAAAACAAUUUACCGAAGCUGUGGAUACCUUUAUAGGUAUGGUAGGAGAGCGUUCUAUGUGUGAUGAAGGUAUACCGUGAGGAGUGCUGGAACGCAUAGAAGUGAGAAUGCCGGUAUGAGUAGCGAAAGACAGGUGAGAAUCCUGUCCACCGUAAGACUAAGGUUUCCAGGGGAAGGCUCGUCCGCCCUGGGUUAGUCGGGACCUAAGGAGAGACCGAAAGGUGUAUCCGAUGGACAACAGGUUGAUAUUCCUGUACUAGAGUAUGUAGUGAUGGAGGGACGCAGUAGGCUAACUAAAGCAGACGAUUGGAAGAGUCUGUCUAAGCAGUGAGGUGUGAAUUGAGUCAAAUGCUUAAUUCUAUAACAUUGAGCUGUGAUGGGGAGCGAAGUUUAGUAGCGAAGUUAGUGACGUCACACUGCCAAGAAAAGCUUCUAGCGUUUAAACAUACUCUACCCGUACCGCAAACCGACACAGGUAGUCGAGGCGAGUAGCCUCAGGUGAGCGAGAGAACUCUCGUUAAGGAACUCGGCAAAAUGACCCCGUAACUUCGGGAGAAGGGGUGCUGACUUAAAGUCAGCCGCAGUGAAUAGGCCCAAGCAACUGUUUAUCAAAACACACAGCUCUCUGCUAAAUCGUAAGAUGAUGUAUAGGGGGUGACGCCUGCCCGGUGCUGGAAGGUUAAGAGGAGUGCUUAGCGUAAGCGAAGGUAUGAAUUGAAGCCCCAGUAAACGGCGGCCGUAACUAUAACGGUCCUAAGGUAGCGAAAUUCCUUGUCGGGUAAGUUCCGACCCGCACGAAAGGCGUAAUGAUUUGGGCACUGUCUCAACGAGAGACUCGGUGAAAUUUUAGUACCUGUGAAGAUGCAGGUUACCCGCGACAGGACGGAAAGACCCCAUGGAGCUUUACUGCAGUUUGAUAUUGAGUGUCUGUACCACAUGUACAGGAUAGGUAGGAGUCUAAGAGAUCGGGACGCCAGUUUCGAAGGAGACGCUGUUGGGAUACUACCCUUGUGUUAUGGCCACUCUAACCCAGAUAGGUGAUCCCUAUCGGAGACAGUGUCUGACGGGCAGUUUGACUGGGGCGGUCGCCUCCUAAAAGGUAACGGAGGCGCCCAAAGGUUCCCUCAGAAUGGUUGGAAAUCAUUCGCAGAGUGUAAAAGGUAUAAGGGAGCUUGACUGCGAGAGCUACAACUCGAGCAGGGACGAAAGUCGGGCUUAGUGAUCCGGUGGUUCCGUAUGGAAGGGCCAUCGCUCAACGGAUAAAAGCUACCCUGGGGAUAACAGGCUUAUCUCCCCCAAGAGUUCACAUCGACGGGGAGGUUUGGCACCUCGAUGUCGGCUCGUCGCAUCCUGGGGCUGUAGUCGGUCCCAAGGGUUGGGCUGUUCGCCCAUUAAAGCGGCACGCGAGCUGGGUUCAGAACGUCGUGAGACAGUUCGGUCCCUAUCCGUCGCGGGCGUAGGAAAUUUGAGAGGAUCUGCUCCUAGUACGAGAGGACCAGAGUGGACUUACCGCUGGUGUACCAGUUGUCUUGCCAAAGGCAUCGCUGGGUAGCUAUGUAGGGAAGGGAUAAACGCUGAAAGCAUCUAAGUGUGAAACCCACCUCAAGAUGAGAUUUCCCAUGAUUAUAUAUCAGUAAGAGCCCUGAGAGAUGAUCAGGUAGAUAGGUUAGAAGUGGAAGUGUGGCGACACAUGUAGCGGACUAAUACUAAUAGCUCGAGGACUUAUCCA